CAGCCGUAAACUAUGCUCGCUAGGUGUCAGGCAUGGCGCGACCGUGUCUGGUGCCGCAGGGAAGCCGUGAAGCGAGCCACCUGGGAAGUACGGCCGCAAGGCUGAAACUUAAAGGAAUUGGCGGGGGAGCACAACAACGGGUGGAGCCUGCGGUUUAAUUGGACUCAACGCCGGACAACUCACCGGGGACGACAGCAAUAUGUAGGCCAGGCUGAAGACCUUGCCUGAAUCGCUGAGAGGAGGUGCAUGGCGUCAGUGAC
rnacentral:rRNA from 1 species